CCCUACGGGGGACUGCAGUGGGGAAUAUUGCAAAAUGGGGGAAACCCUGAUGCAGCGACGCCGCGGGAGUGAAGAAGUAGUUCGGUAUGUAAAGCUCUAUCAGCAGGGAAGAAAAUGACGGUACCUGAUUAAGAAGCCCCGGCUAACUACGUGCCAGCAGCCGCGGUAAUACGUAGGGGGCAAGCGUUAUCCGGAUUUACUGGGUGUAAAGGGAGCGUAGACGGCAGCACAAGUCUGUAGUGAAAUGCCGGGGCUGAACCGCGGAACUGCUUGGGAACCUGUGCAGCUAGAGUGCAGGUGAGGUAAGUGGAAUUCCUAGUGUAGCGGUGAAAUGCGUAGAUAUUAGGAGGAACACCAGUGGCGAAGGCGGCUUACUGGACUGUAACUGACGUUGAGGCUCGAAAGCGUGGGGAGCAAACAGGAUUAGAUACCCUUGUAGUC
rnacentral:rRNA from 1 species